AUUGAACGCUGGCGGCAGGCCUAACACAUGCACGUCGAACGAGUGGCGGACGGGUGAGUAAUGGCUGGGAAACUGGCUGAUGGAUGGGGAUAACAACUGGAAACGGUAGCUAAUACCGCAUACCAGCAGAUGUGUCCAAAUGGGAUGAGUUUGUUGGUGGGGUAACGCCUAACGAAGGCGCCGAUCCCUAGCUGGUCUGAGAGGAUGACCAGCCACACUGUACCUGAGACACAGUCCAGCCUCCUACGGGCGGAAGCAGUGGGGAAUAUUGCACAAUGGGCGCAAGCCUGAUUCAGCCAUGCCGCGUAUAUGAAGAAGGCCUUCGGGUUGUAAAGUACUUUCAGCGGGGAGGCGUUACCCGCAGAAGAUGCACCGGCUAACUCCGUGCCAGCAGCCGCGGUAAUAC
rnacentral:rRNA from 1 species